AAUUUACAGGAACACCCAAAGCCUACACCAGUCUGAUCCGUCAGUUACAAUUGUUGAUCAAACUACUAAAACACGUGUUAGACUUGGGCCUGCAAGUGAGAAUGACAAGCAACAAAUUACAUUUUUUUCUAAUGCUUGCAAAGGAAUUCCUCAGGCAAGUCCGGCAUUCUUGCAAAA